AGAGUUUGAUCCUGGCUCAGGAUGAACGCUGGCGGCGUGCCUAAUACAUGCAAGUCGAGCGAACGGACGAGAAGCUUGCUUCUCUGAUGUUAGCGGCGGACGGGUGAGUAACACGUGGAUAACCUACCUAUAAGACUGGGAUAACUUCGGGAAACCGGAGCUAAUACCGGAUAAUAUUUUGAACCGCAUGGUUCAAAAUUGAAAGACGGUCUUGCUGUCACUUAUAGAUGGAUCCGCGCUGCAUUAGCUAGUUGGUAAGGUAACGGCUUACCAAGGCAACGAUGCAUAGCCGACCUGAGAGGGUGAUCGGCCACACUGGAACUGAGACACGGUCCAGACUCCUACGGGAGGCAGCAGUAGGGAAUCUUCCGCAAUGGGCGAAAGCCUGACGGAGCAACGCCGCGUGAGUGAUGAAGGUCUUCGGAUCGUAAAACUCUGUUAUUAGGGAAGAACAUAUGUGUAAGUAACUGUGCACAUCUUGACGGUACCUAAUCAGAAAGCCACGGCUAACUACGUGCCAGCAGCCGCGGUAAUACGUAGGUGGCAAGCGUUAUCCGGAAUUAUUGGGCGUAAAGCGCGCGUAGGCGGUUUUUUAAGUCUGAUGUGAAAGCCCACGGCUCAACCGUGGAGGGUCAUUGGAAACUGGAAAACUUGAGUGCAGAAGAGGAAAGUGGAAUUCCAUGUGUAGCGGUGAAAUGCGCAGAGAUAUGGAGGAACACCAGUGGCGAAGGCGACUUUCUGGUCUGUAACUGACGCUGAUGUGCGAAAGCGUGGGGAUCAAACAGGAUUAGAUACCCUGGUAGUCCACGCCGUAAACGAUGAGUGCUAAGUGUUAGGGGGUUUCCGCCCCUUAGUGCUGCAGCUAACGCAUUAAGCACUCCGCCUGGGGAGUACGACCGCAAGGUUGAAACUCAAAGGAAUUGACGGGGACCCGCACAAGCGGUGGAGCAUGUGGUUUAAUUCGAAGCAACGCGAAGAACCUUACCAAAUCUUGACAUCCUUUGACAACUCUAGAGAUAGAGCCUUCCCCUUCGGGGGACAAAGUGACAGGUGGUGCAUGGUUGUCGUCAGCUCGUGUCGUGAGAUGUUGGGUUAAGUCCCGCAACGAGCGCAACCCUUAAGCUUAGUUGCCAUCAUUAAGUUGGGCACUCUAAGUUGACUGCCGGUGACAAACCGGAGGAAGGUGGGGAUGACGUCAAAUCAUCAUGCCCCUUAUGAUUUGGGCUACACACGUGCUACAAUGGACAAUACAAAGGGCAGCGAAACCGCAAGGUCAAGCAAAUCCCAUAAAGUUGUUCUCAGUUCGGAUUGUAGUCUGCAACUCGACUACAUGAAGCUGGAAUCGCUAGUAAUCGUAGAUCAGCAUGCUACGGUGAAUACGUUCCCGGGUCUUGUACACACCGCCCGUCACACCACGAGAGUUUGUAACACCCGAAGCCGGUGGAGUAACCUUUUAGGAGCUAGCCGUCGAAGGUGGGACAAAUGAUUGGGGUGAAGUCGUAACAAGGUAGCCGUAUCGGAAGGUGCGGCUGGAUCACCU
rnacentral:rRNA from 1 species